GUAGUCCACGCCGUAAACGUUGGGAACUAGAUGUGGGGUCCAUUCCACGGAUUCCGUGUCGCAGCUAACGCAUUAAGUUCCCCGCCUGGGGAGUACGGCCGCAAGGCUAAAACUCAAAGGAAUUGACGGGGGCCCGCACAAGCGGCGGAGCAUGCGGAUUAAUUCGAUGCAACGCGAAGAACCUUACCAAGGCUUGACAUAUACCUGUAAAGGCUAGAGAUAGUCUCCCCGCAAGGCAGGUAUACAGGUGGUGCAUGGUUGUCGUCAGCUCGUGUCGUGAGAUGUUGGGUUAAGUCCCGCAACGAGCGCAACCCUCGUUCUAUGUUGCCAGCACGUAAUGGUGGGAACUC
rnacentral:rRNA from 1 species